GGAUGAAUAUUGGUCAAUGGGCGAGAGCCUGAACCAGCCAUGCCGCGUGCAGGAAGACGGUCCUAUGGAUUGUAAACUGCUUUUAUUUGGGAAUAAACUCCGGUACGUGUACCGGCCUGAAGGUACCAAAUGAAUAAGCACCGGCUAACUCCGUGCCAGCAGCCGCGGUAAUACGGAGGGUGCAAGCGUUAUCCGGAAUCAUUGGGUUUAAAGGGUCCGCAGGCGGUCUUAUAAGUCAGUGGUGAAAGCC
rnacentral:rRNA from 1 species